rnacentral:rRNA from 1 species
CCUACGGGAGGCAGCAGUCGAGAAUCAUUCACAAUGGGGGAAACCCUGAUGGAGCGACGCCGCGUGGGGGAAUGAAGGUCUUCGGAUUGUAAACCCCUGUCAUGUGGGAGCAAAUUAAAAAGAUAGUACCACAAGAGGAAGAGACGACUAACUCUGUGCCAGCAGCCGCGGUAAUACAGAGGUCUCAAGCGUUGUUCGGAAUCACUGGGCGUAAAGUGUGCGUAGGCUGUUUCGUAAGUCGUGUGUGAAAGGCGCGGGCUCAACCCGCGGACUGCACAUGAUACUGCGAGACUAGAGUAAUGGAGGGGGAGCCGGAAUUCUCGGUGUAGCAGUGAAAUGCGUAGAUAUCGAGAGGAACACUCGUGGCGAAGGCGGGUUCCUGGACAUUAACUGACGCUGAGGCACGAAGGCCAGGGGAGCGAAAGGGAUUAGAUACCCGAGUAGUC